GGGCAGGACAGGUGAAAUAGUCCUACGCAUAAAUGCGUAGGAUUAUUUCACUUAAUACUUAUUCGCUACGCUCAACGUGUCCUGCUCUACGAGGU
rnacentral:ncRNA from 1 species